rnacentral:rRNA from 1 species
GAUCCUGGCUCAGGAUGAACGCUAGCGGCAGGCCUAACACAUGCAAGUCGAGGGGUAGAGUUCUUCGGAACUUGAGACCGGCGCACGGGUGCGUAACGCGUAUGCAAUCUACCUUAUACAGGGGAAUAGCCCAGAGAAAUUUGGAUUAAUGCCCCAUAGUAUUAUUGAAUGGCAUCAUUUGAUAAUUAAAGUUCCAACGGUAUAAGAUGAGCAUGCGUCCCAUUAGUUAGUUGGUAAGGUAACGGCUUACCAAGACAAUGAUGGGUAGGGGUCCUGAGAGGGAGAUCCCCCACACUGGUACUGAGACACGGACCAGACUCCUACGGGAGGCAGCAGUGAGGAAUAUUGGUCAAUGGGCGCAAGCCUGAACCAGCCAUGCCGCGUGCAGGAAGAAGCAUCUAUGGUGUGUAAACUGCUUUUAUACAGGAAGAAACAACUCUACGUGUAGAGUCUUGACGGUACUGUAAGAAUAAGGACCGGCUAACUCCGUG